AACCAAUCAUAGUGUUAUGAGUCAAAUUACACAUUGUGUAUAUUUUUACAGUGAGCAGCCACAGGCAGUAUAGCAAUUAGGGGCAUAAUUUACUAAUACUAAGUAAUCUUUUAGUAGAUAGCUCCCUAAUACCGUGGGAAUUAGGGAGUUUUCUACUUAUUCAUUCCUGUCAUUACAUUGACUGGCCAAGUAACUUACAUUUUAUAUGAAUGUAUGUUACUUGAUUGUGUUGUGUUGCAAAUGCUUACAGCUGAAUCCUGGCUAUGUUUGUAUACUUUUUAUUUAAAAUUGUAACAUUCUUCUUCUUACACUGGAUAAGUAUAUCAGUACUUAGGCAAAACUGUGCUUUGGCAAUUCGUCACUUCGGAACUUCAGAACUUCGUCACUUCGACACUUCGGAAAUUCUGUAAUUUCGGAACUUCGGGACCUCGGUAAUUCGCCAUUUUGGCUAUUCGGACAUUCGGAAGCACCCAGCUCUUCUUGGGAAGUAGUAGAAGGGACUAGUGGACCCCAGCACUCUGAUUGGUUGGUUUGAAAUCCACCAAUCAGAGUGCUCUGUGUCAAUUUACACAGCAUGGGAAAGGAAGCACCUGAAUGUCCGAAUUGCCCGAAAAUAGUCCGAAUACAUAUUCGGCCCGACACGAAUUGCAC